rnacentral:rRNA from 1 species
CCUACGGGAGGCAGCAGUGAGGAAUAUUGGUCAAUGGACGAGAGUCUGAACCAGCCAAGUAGCGUGAAGGAUGACUGCCCUAUGGGUUGUAAACUUCUUUUAUAUGGGACUAAAAUGUUCCACGUGUGGGAUUUUGUAUGUACCAUAUGAAUAAGGAUCGGCUAACUCCGUGCCAGCAGCCGCGGUAAUACGGAGGAUCCGAGCGUUAUCCGGAUUUAUUGGGUUUAAAGGGAGCGUAGGUGGAUUGUUAAGUCAGUUGUGAAAGUUUGCGGCGCAACCGUAAAAUUGCAGUUGAAACUGGCAGUCUUGAGUACAGUAGAGGUGGGCGGAAUUCGGGGUGUAGCGGUGAAAUGCUUAGAUAGCACGAAGAACUCCGAUUGCGAAGGCAGUUCACUGGACUGCAACUGACACUGAGGCUCGAAAGUGUGGGUAUCAAACAGGAUUAGAUACCCGUGUAGUC